rnacentral:rRNA from 1 species
UGAGCAAUCUGCCCUUCUCAUCGGAAUAAGCGUUGGAGACGACGUCUAAUGCCGAAUACGACCUCCUUUCGCAUGAUCGGAGGUGGAAAGCUCCGGCGGAGAAGGAUGAGCUCGCGGCCUAUCAGCUAGUUGGUGUGGGUAAUGGCCCACCAAGGCGACGACGGGUAGCCGGCCUGAGAGGGUGACCGGCCACACGUGGGACUGAGACACGGCCCAGACCUCCGUACGGGAGCAG